rnacentral:rRNA from 1 species
UCCGUAGGCGGAUAAUUAAGUCAGAGGUGAAAUCCCACAGCUCAACUGUGGAACUGCCUUUGAUACUGGUUAUCUUGAGUUUUAGUGAAGUAGAUAGAAUAUGUAGUGUAGCGGUGAAAUGCUUAGGUAUUACAUAGAAUACCGAUUGCGAAGGCAGUCUACUAACUAAUAACUGACGCUAAUGGACGAAAGCGUGGGGAGCGAACAGGAUUAGAUACCCUGGUAGUCC